GUCCGUUCAUCCCUAAUGAGGACGCAUGAAAUCCAAGCAUGGAACGGGGCUUGGG
ncrna:unclassified sequences Downstream peptide RNA